rnacentral:sRNA from 1 species
AUAUUGCACGCCAGCGGGGGGAUGAGAAGCCCCGACCGGGGUUCGACAACUGGCGCAGCCAGUUGGACAGAUGACGAGCCCGCGAGGAAUCUACCCGCAGGGCGAGCRAAGCGAGUCAAUCCCCCCCUCACCGCCA